CCUGCUAUGGUAUAACUUAGUGGCAGACGGGUGAGUAAUGUAUAGGGAUCUACCUAAUAGUACGGAAUAAUUACUGGAAACGGUGAUUAAUACCAUAUACGCCCUACGGGGGAAAGAUUUAUCGCUAUUAGAUGAGCCUAUAUUAGAUUAGCUAGUUGGUAGGGUAAUGGCCUACCAAGGCAAUGAUCUAUAGCUGAUCUGAGAGGAUGAUCAGCCACACUGGAACUGAGAUACGGUCCAGACUCCUACGGGAGGCAGCAGUGGGGAAUAUUGGACAAUGGGCGAAAGCCUGAUCCAGCCAUGCCGCAUGAGUGAAGAAGGCCUUUGGGUUGUAAAGCUCUUUCAGUGAGGAAGAUAAUGACGGUACUCACAGAAGAAGUCCUGGCUAACUCCGUGCCAGCAGCCGCGGUAAUACGGAGAGGGCUAGCGUUAUUCGGAAUUAUUGGGCGUAAAGAGCGCGUAGGCUGAUUAGUAAGUUAAGAGUGAAAUCCCAGAGCUCAACUUUGGAAUUGCUUUUAAAACUGCUAAUCUAGAGAUUGAAAGAGGAUAGAGGAAUUCCUAGUGUAGAGGUGAAAUUCGUAAAUAUUAGGAGGAACACCAGUGGCGAAGGCGUCUAUCUGGUUCAAAUCUGACGCUGAUGCGCGAAGGCGUGGGGAGCAAACAGGAUUAGAUACCCUGGUAGUCCACGCUGUAAACGAUGAAUGCUAAAUAUGGGAAGGUGACUUUCUGUAUUACAGCUAACGCGUUAAGCAUUCCGCCUGGGGACUACGAUCGCAAGAUUAAAACUCAAAGGAAUUGACGGGGACCCGCACAAGCGGUGGAGCAUGUGGUUUAAUUCUAUGCUACGCGAAAAACCUUACCACUCCUUGACAUGAAAAU
rnacentral:rRNA from 2 species